GACGAACGCUGGCGGCGUGCCUAACACAUGCAAGUCGAACGAGAAUCAAUUGAACAGAGGCUUCGGCCGACGGAAUUUUGAGGAAAGUGGCGAACGGGUGAGUAACGCGUGAGAAACCUGCCUUUCAGUGGGGGACAACAGUUGGAAACGACUGCUAAUACCGCAUAAUGUAUUUUAGGGGCAUCCCUUUAAUACCAAAGAUUUAUUGCUGAAAGAUGGUCUCGCGUCUGAUUAGCUAGUUGGUGGGGUAACGGCUCACCAAGGCGACGAUCAGUAGCCGGUCUGAGAGGAUGAACGGCCACAUUGGGACUGAGAUACGGCCCAGACUCCUACGGGAGGCAGCAGUGGGGAAUAUUGGGCAAUGGGGGAAACCCUGACCCAGCAACGCCGCGUGAAGGAAGAAGGCCUUCGGGUUGUAAACUUCUUUAGUAGGACGAAGAACGUAGACGGUACCUACAGAAAAAGAC
rnacentral:rRNA from 1 species